GCUUCCACACCCACAGGGUUUUGGGAACCGGAGGCAGGCGGACAGCCCCAGGAGUCAUAAUGAGAAGAAAUGCUACCUCGGUACAGUGGACGAACGUGCAAACCACACAGAAAGUUUGAAAAAGGUCUACUGGAGGCUCUGCUUUCUGUCUCACAGUGACAGGUGUGUAAAGCAUGAGGUGACCUUGGGCAAGUUGUUCAACCUCAGUGUUAUCACCUGUAGAACGGAGAAAACAAGACUACAUACUUUGGAGGUGAGGACGCUGUAGGAAGUCAUCUGCGAAGCGGAGAGUGCACCUUUACCAGACGCGGAGUCUGCUGGCGCCUUGAUCUCGGACUUUGCAGCUUCCAGAACCGAAAGUCAAGUGAUGUGGUCAUGCUUUUAGUAAAUAAACUGGAAUUGUGGUUUUAACACUCUGCUGACCUGGGAUUGUGGUGCUG
rnacentral:lncRNA from 1 species